GAUUAUUCCAUGGUAUUAUAACUAGUUUAUAAUUCAUGGUAUUAUAACUAGUUUUGUUGUUCUGGCAAUGAAAAUUGUUCUUUGCUAACUAUUAAGUCUAUUGUAGAAAUUUUCCAUGUUUUUUUUUUCUUUUGAAAAUUAGUAAUUUCCAUAAGAAUAAUAUUUGUAGCAACAGUAGCUCUGGUAUAAUAUGUAUGAAGCAGUAAAAAGUCAUCUAUGAUGUUUAUUAUAUUUUGGAAAAAAUUUAUGCUUUAUUUAUAGCCGUGAGUUGUUAAUGAGGAUGCUUGAAGUUUUAGUUUUAAAACUACUGCAAAGCUGCAACUGCUUGUUCUGCAGAAAAAAGCUUCUCAACCUUUAAAACCUCAAACCUUGGCUAUUCCUGCCUCAUACUCUGCCAUAGUUGCCUCUUCAAGUUCUUCCCUUUCAAAUGUAACACCUUUCGUAUCUGCAGCUCAGCAUAUCACCACACCACAUGUUAAUCCACUUAGUUUUGCUCCUGGAGUCCUCCUCGGUGGAGUUAAAGUAAAGACUGAAGUUCCAUUCAGGUGGUCUAUUAGA